GAAAAUUCUCACCUUUUUAUUAUGUUCUAACACACAUCUUUUUCCUUAGAUACAGAAGAGAUAUGAGUCAAUUUUAAUGUGCCCAUUCACGGCUCAAGGGCUGCAAGGAGGCUAAUGACUAUUGUUAAAUAAAUUACUUAACAUUUUUGGACUAGUUAAUCUGUACCAAAACUUGCAACCUGAGGCUUAAACCCCUCCUUAGUGUGACAAUAAUCAAAACCAUACCACGCAUUUCCUGGCACAAAUAUUCCAAAAUAGAACGUAUAAGAAACUGGCACUAAAUGACCAUUACCCUCUUGAUGAAGCACCUUCACCCAACCUGGUCUCCAAUCAUCAGACCCAACCUUCUUAAGGUAAUGAACAAACACUCUGUUUCAUGCAUGGUCCACUUGCCUCAAACAUGUCAAUGGAACACCUCCCAAAUCCUCCAUAUGAACCACCUUGCUUUCUAAAACCCUUCGGACCAUAUAACAGCUUGGGAUUCUUUAGAGGCUUCACUAUGAUUAAGUUUCCUGAUGAUCACUGAACCUAACACUGAUGUGAUCUUUAGUACCAGCUGAUGGUGCACGAGUUGUCUCAAUCUCAAUUGAAUAGGAGCAAUUUUUUUGGGAUUCUUGAAAGGUAGAGGUUGUGGGUUCGUUUCCAUUGGCUAGAUGAGCAGGAAUGGUGGUGGUUAGAAUAGAAAUAAUGAUUAGAAGAAAGCUUGCUCU
rnacentral:misc_RNA from 1 species